rnacentral:rRNA from 1 species
AGAACGAACGCUGGCGGCAUGCCUAAUACAUGCAAGUCGAACGAACUCUUCGGAGUUAGUGGCGCACGGGUGCGUAACGCGUGGGAAUCUGCCCCUUGGUUCGGAAUAACAGUUGGAAACGACUGCUAAUACCGGAUGAUGACGAAAGUCCAAAGAUUUAUCGCCAAGGGAUGAGCCCGCGUAGGAUUAGCUAGUUGGUGAGGUAAAGGCUCACCAAGGCAACGAUCCUUAGCCGGUCUGAGAGGAUGAUCAGCCACACGUGGGACUGAGACACGGCCCAGACCUCCGUACGGGAGGCAGCGAGUAGGGAAUAGUUAGGACUAAGUGGGACGAAAG